rnacentral:rRNA from 1 species
AGAGUUUGAUCCUGGCUCAGAACAAACGCUGGCGGCGUGCUUAAUACAUGCAAGUCGUGCGAGAAAGUACCCUUCGGGGUGCGAGUAAAGCGGCGAACGGGUGAGUAACACGUAAGGAACCUGCCUCUAAAUCCGGAAUAGCUCUGCCAACGCGGAAUUAAUGCCGGAUGUGGUCCCGAGGUCGCAUGGCUUUGGGAUUAAAGGUGACCUCUUCUUGAAAGUUACCGUUUAGAGAUGGUCUUGCGGACCAUUAGCUUGUUGGCGGGGUAACGGCCCACCAAGGCUUCGAUGGUUAGCCGGCCUGAGAGGGUGAUCGGCCACAUUGGGACUGAGAUACGGCCCAGACUCCUACGGGAGGCAGCAGUAGGGAAUUUUGCGCAAUGGACGAAAGUCUGACGCAGCAACGCCGCGUGAGUGAUGAAGGUUCUCGGAUCGUAAAGCUCUGUUGAGUGGGAAGAAAAAUCCCAGGGAUAAUACCCUUGGGACUUGACGGUACCAUUCGAGGAAGCCCCGGCUAACUACGUGCCAGCAGCCGCGGUAAUACGUAGGGGGCGAGCGUUGUUCGGAAUCACUGGGCGUAAAGGGAGUGUAGGCGGAAGAGUAAGUUAGGAGUGCAAUCCAUGGGCUUAACCCAUGGCCUGCUCUCAAUACUGCUUUUCUUGAGUAUGGGAGAGGGAGAUGGAAUUCCAGGUGUAGCGGUGGAAUGCGUAGAUAUCUGGAAGAACACCAGCAGCGAAGGCGGUCUCCUGGCCCAAUACUGACGCUGAGUCUCGAAAGCUAAGGGAGCAAACAGGAUUAGAUACCCUGGUAGUCUUAGCCGUAAACAAUGGACACUAGAUGUCGGCCCUGUUCUGGGGUCGGUGUCGUAGCUAACGCGUUAAGUGUCCCGCCUGGGGAGUACGCUCGCAAGGGUGAAACUCAAAGGAAUUGACGGGGGCCCGCACAAGCGGUGGAGCAUGUGCUUUAAUUCGAUGCAACGCGAAGAACCUUACCUGGGCUUGACAUGGGAGUGAAAAUCCCCAGAGACGGUGAUCCUUCCGCAAGGAACACUCCGCACAGGUGCUGCAUGGUUGUCGUCAGCUCGUGUCGUGAGAUGUUGGGUUAAGUCCCGCAACGAGCGCAACCCCUGCCCUUAGUUGCCAGCGGGUCAUGCCGGGAACUCUAGGGGGACUGCCUGGUACAACCAGGAGGAAGGUGGGGAUGACGUCAAAUCCUCAUGGCCCUUACGUCCAGGGCGAGACACGUGCUACAAUGGCCGGCACAAUGGGAUGCGAGACUGUGAGGUUUAGCUAAUCCCCUAAAACCGGUCUCAGUUCGGAUUGGAGUCUGCAAUUCGACUCCAUGAAGGUGGAAUCGCUAGUAAUCGCGGAUCAGCACGCCGCGGUGAAUACGUUCCCGGGCCUUGUACACACCGCCCGUCAAGCCACGAAAGAUGGCAGUACCCAAAGUCGCUUUUCCAACCCUCACGGGAGGAAAGCGCCGAAGGUAAGGCUGUUGAUUGGGGCUAAGUCGGAACAAGGUA